rnacentral:rRNA from 1 species
UACGGAGGGGGCUAGCGUUGUUCGGAAUUACUGGGCGUAAAGCGCGCGUAGGCGGACCUGCAAGUCGGGGGUGAAAGCCUGUGGCUCAACCACAGAAUUGCCUUCGAUACUGUUUGGCUUGAGACCGGAAGAGGUAAGUGGAACUGCGAGUGUAGAGGUGAAAUUCGUAGAUAUUCGCAAGAACACCAGUGGCGAAGGCGGCUUACUGGUCCGGUUCUGACGCUGAGGCGCGAAAGCGUGGGGAGCAAACAGG